rnacentral:rRNA from 1 species
UACACUCCUACGGGAGGCAGCAGUGGGGAAUUUUGGACAAUGGGCGAAAGCCUGAUCCAGCAAUGCCGCGUGAGUGAAGAAGGCCUUCGGGUUGUAAAGCUCUUUUGUCAGGGAAGAAACGGUGAGAGCUAAUAUCUCUUGCUAAUGACGGUACCUGAAGAAUAAGCACCGGCUAACUACGUGCCAGCAGCCGCGGUAAUACGUAGGGUGCAAGCGUUAAUCGGAAUUACUGGGCGUAAAGCGUGCGCAGGCGGUUUUGUAAGUCUGAUGUGAAAUCCCCGGGCUCAACCUGGGAAUUGCAUUGGAGACUGCAAGGCUAGAAUCUGGCAGAGGGGGGUAGAAUUCCACGUGUAGCAGUGAAAUGCGUAGAUAUGUGGAGGAACACCGAUGGCGAAGGCAGCCCCCUGGGUCAAGAUUGACGCUCAUGCACGAAAGCGUGGGGAGCAAACAGGAUUAGAAACCCGUGUAGUCCCAUGA